rnacentral:lncRNA from 1 species
CGCCUGCCGCCACCCACCCAACUCCUUUCCUCCUCGUCUCCUCUCCCAACCAUCCUGCGGCACCUAGAACGGCGAUUCUGCUCCAGCCCCAGGCAGAUGGAUCGUCACCGCGGGUGUGGAGUCUCCGCAGGAUGUCACCGCACUCUGCAGAAGCUCAUCACGCACUCGGGCGUUUGUAACUCCCAGGCCAUGGCGUCCCGGCGGACCGAAUGGGCAGAGCCCGCAGGAAGCAUCCGGGCCGUGGGGGUUGUGGAGGGCGGAAGGCACCAGCGGGUCUUGGGGCCGUGGAAAUGGAGCCCCCCCGCCAUCCCCCCCACCCCCCGCAGGAAGGGCCUGAAAAAUUCACCUGCUGUUCCAUGGGUAAGCCCCUCGUUAAAACGGAGCCUUUGGGGGUGUCAGCAGAGUGGGGUGUCUGGAAGGGCCCCAGGCUCAGACCCCUUGGGUGGCACUUUUGCUCCCUCCCUGUGCGGCUCUAAACAGCUGACCUCUCUGUUAUAAAGGCCACUUUGCAGAGCUGGGGAGACCACAACAGACCAGGCAUGGGGCCGAGCUGGGCGUGCCAACCUGGAGUAAAACGCCAGGGCCUGCCUCCUGGGUCGGCAAACUCAGCAGGGAGCCCCGCAGAAAAGGCCCUGGGCCACGCCAGGACCUGGGUCUAGGCUACCCUCUGCGGUGAGGCUGGGAGCAGGGGUGUGACUUGUGGGACCUUGGCUGCUGUGUCCACACAGCUGGUCUCUAAGGGU